rnacentral:misc_RNA from 1 species
GAUGAAGAACGUAGCGAAAUGCGAUACUUGGUGUGAAUUGCAGAAUCCCGUGAACCAUCGAGUUUUUGAACGCAAGUUGCGCCCGAAGCCGUUAGGCCGAGGGCACGCCUGCCUGGGUGUCACACAUCGUUGCCCCAAUGCCAAUCGCCUCACUUUGUAGGUAUUUGCUUGGGGUGAAUGUUGGCCUCCCGUGUACUUUGUCUCACGGUUGGUUGAAAUCGAGUGCAUGGUGUCGGGUGUACCAUGAUGGAUGGUGGUUGAGUGAUGAUGCUCGAGACCAAUCAUGGGUAACUCCACCAGAAUUGGGCUCGGUGACCCACAUGCGUCCCUUGGAUGCUCCCUAAGGAGACCUCAGGUCAGGCGGGGCUACCCGCUGAGUUUAAGCAUAUCAAUAAGCGGAGGA